AGGCACAGGCACGCAAAUUACCCACUCCCGGCACGGGGAGGUAGUGACAAAAAAUAACGAUACGGGACUCAUCCGAGGCCCCGUAAUCGGAAUGGGAACACCCUAAACCCUUUAACGAUGAUCUAUUGGAGGGAAAGUCUGGUGCCAGCAGCCGCGGUAAAUCCAGCUCCAAUAGCGUAUAUUAAAGUUGUUGCGGUUAAAAAGCUCGUAGUUGGUUCUGCGUGCCACGCUGUCGGUUCACCGCCUGCCGGUGCAACUGGCAUGCCGUGGCAUGUCCUGUCGGUGGCGGAUAGGCCCCCCGGCGCGCCCUACGCGGUAUACCAGCGUGUAGGCUGUCUCGCCGGUGGGUGUCCUUGUACGCCGACUCAAUCCUACCGCGGUGCUCUUUACCGAGUGUCGAGGUAGGCCGACACUGUUUACUUUGAACAAAUUAGAGUGCUUCAAGCAGGCUCUUAAAUCAGCCCAAUAGUGGUGCAUGGAAUAAUGGAACAGGACCUUGGUUCUAUUUUGUUGGUUUGCGGAAUCCAAGGUAAUGAUCAAUAAGGACAGGCGGGGGCAUCCGUAUUGCGGCGUUAGACUUGGCAAAUGCUUUCGCGGUGAAAUUCUUGGAUCGUCGCAAGACGCACUAAAGCGAAAGCAUUUGCCAAGUAUGUCUUAAUUGAUCAAGAACGAAAGUUAGAGGUUCGAAGGCGAUCAGAUACCGCCCUAGUUCUAACCAUAAACGAUGCCAGCCAGCGAUCCGCCGACGUUCCUCCGAUGACGCGGCGGGGAGCUCCCCCCGGGAAACCAGAAGCUUUUGGGUUCCGGGGGAAGUAUGGUUGCAAAGCUGAAACUUAAAGGAAUUGACGGAAGGGCACCACCAGGAAUGGAGCAUGCGGCUUAAUUUGACUCAACACGGGAAACCUCACCAGGCCCGGACAUUGGAAGGAUUGACAGAUCGAUAGCUCUUUCUUAAUUCAGUGGGUAGUGGUGCAUGGCCGUUCUUAGUUGAUGGACUGAUUUGUCUGGUUAAUUCCGGUAACGAGCGAGACUCUGGCCUAUUAACUAGGCGACACCGGUAUAAAUGGCUACCGGCGAGAUUUAUUCUUC
rnacentral:rRNA from 1 species